rnacentral:lncRNA from 1 species
GCAAACGCACCAAUUUCUAACCGCAGAACCAGUCGUACAAAUCUCUUAAAACCGCUAGAAACCGCAACUACCUGCAUCCGCAAACUCCCGCAAUCGCAACUGAUGCGGUUGAACCAGUCAGGCCCUAAGUGGCAAAAGACUCUUAUGCACUUGUUAUUUAUAUAUAAUAAAUUAUUAUUUAAAUAAUAAAAAAAUAAUAAAAAAAAGAAACUUUUUUUAUGUUUUCGAAUUAUAGUUUUUCAAAUUCAAACUUUUUUAUAAAGUUUUUUUUUUAAAUUGUUUUUUCGAAUUUUUUUUAUUCUUUUUUCAAAUUUCUUUUUCAAAAACGAAAAUCAUGUUUGAAACUACUUUUUUUAAAUUUUUUAUAUACUUUUUAAGUAUUUCUUUAUAUAUUUAUUAGAAUUCUAAAUUUCACAUUCCAAAAACCCUAUCCCACCCUUCAACUCUAAACCCUAAGUCUAGAUUAGUUAACCCUCGUGUUCUAAAACGCCGAUGCCUAGCCGCAAAAUCGUCCGCGUAGGCGUUCGACGGCAAGCCAGCGCCGCGAUUAAAGCCAAAUCGGCUUAACUAUGCGGACGACCGAUAAAUCGGUCAAUCGAAGCGAUUAAUCGGUUUUUGAACCGACUUUUACCGCUUAAAUCCGCGUAAACUUCAACUAUCCAGUUAAUUAUGGGCUUAUAUUUAAAGCCCAUUUGCAAGUAACUACUCAGAGACUAGCUAGUGACUAUUUAUAGAUGUCUUCAACCCUUUUCCUCUUUAUACCUUACCGAUGUGGGAUCUUUGAUAUGUGUUUUUAAAAUUUUUUGGCGUAAAAUUAAAUACGCAUUGGCAGUCCAUCGAACCGUUGACCUUAAACUGCCCCAACAUCUGCGCACUCCAUUACACCAACG